rnacentral:tmRNA from 1 species
GGGGUCGAUUUUGGAUUCGACGGGAUUCUCGAAACCCAAGGUGCAUGCCGAGGAGCGGUUGGCCUCGUAAAAAAGCCGCAUUUUAAAGUAAUCGCAAACGACGAUUCUUACGCACUCGCUGCCUAAUAAGCAGUAAGAGAGCCUGUCACCAAAGGCCCCGCCUACUGGCCUAGGAUCCUGACAGUCAACCCUCGUAGGAUCGCGUGGAGUCUUCGCCAGUAGACGAAGCGUUAAAACCAAUCUGGCUCGCCCUAACAUAGCCUGCCACUCGGCGCUGCUAAGGGUUAAUUAAAUGAGUGUGCUAAGCAUGUAGUACCAAGGAUGUAGGUUUUUCGGACGGGGGUUCAACUCCCCCCGACUCCACCA